rnacentral:rRNA from 1 species
AUGUUACACAUGGCUUCAUUUUCUGGGUUUGAACUUCUUUUUGGGACUUCCCAGAGAUAUUCAUGCACCUUCAUGCCUUAUUCACCUUUCCUUCCUUGUCAAAUGUGUGGAGUUGCAGUGAGGAAUAGUUCAAUAAGGAAAAUGUCUCUAAGAACUAGCUCUCAGCUCGCCCUACAGCUCAAAAGUAGUGUCUUUUUUACUACUGGGCUCUCGGGUUAUCACAGUUUUGUAAGUUCCAGAACAGCAGAUGUCUGUGGAGUUGCUUUAAAGGCUACCAAUAGUGUUAAUUCACGGUUCUUCUCAACUGCAUACGGUAAAAAGUUAAGGUUUCUCAUUAGCAAUAAGAGCUCAUUUAUCAAUCCAAAUAUAAAUAGGGAAGAUGGAGGUGCUGCCCAUAGGUACUUCCAUAGAUCUGAGAGACGCCAAAGCACACUAGCUGCAUGCAGCACCAUCGCUGAUGAGGCUUCCACAUCUACGAGCAAGUGCAGUGAGAGUGGUACAGGUACUAAAAAGGACAUUGCGAAGAAUAAAAAUUCUGGAGGCAGCAAAAAAGAAGUUAGCACAGAUGUGAAAGAAAAGAAAGUAUCUACCAAGAAAAAGAGCAGUUCUACUAAAACUAGUAAAUCAGCAGCAAAUACAACUGAGAAAGCAAGUGCGAAGCAAGAAGAAAAGAAGGCUGACACAUCUAAAUCAAAGAAAGGGGUUGGUAGUUCCAAAGAGAGAAAAACAGUAACCAGUUCGAAGAAAUCUUUGGAAGCAAAGGAAUCUGCUGCUAUUGCAGCUGCCGAAGCCAAUAAUUACAUGAAGACCACUGUUGAUGCUUCUGGUAGUGAGAGGAGGCCACUUGUACCUCUGUACCCCCCCUUAGCUAAAUCAGUUGUUGUUGUUGAAUCAGUUACAAAAGCAAAAGUUAUUCAACAAUACCUUGGGGACAUGUACGAAGUAUUACCCAGCUAUGGUCAUGUGAGAGAUCUAGCUCGAAGGUCAAGAUCUGUCCGCCCUGAGGACGACUUCAGCAUGGUAUGGGAGGUGCCUAAUGGUGCCUGGACAUGCCUUAAAAGUAUUAAAGUUGCAUUGAAAGGAGCAGAAAAUUUGAUUCUCGCUUCUGAUCCUGACCGUGAAGGUGAAGCAAUUGCUUGGCACAUAAAAGAAAUGCUUGAACAGAACUUGGCUUGCCAUGUUACUGUUGCAAGAGUUGUCUUCCAUGAAAUUACAGAGGAUGCUAUUAAAAACGCCUUAAUGUCUCCAAGAUAUAUUGAUAUGGACUUAGUUAAUGCUUAUCUUGCACGCCGUUCCCUUGAUUAUUUGAUUGGGUUCGCCAUAUCACCACUUUUAUGGAGGAAGUUGCCUGGUUGUCAGUCCGCUGGACGAGUCCAGUCUGCAGCUUUGUCUGUUGUUUGUGAUCGGGAGACUGAAAUAGAAAAGUUUAGCCCACAGGAAUAUUGGACUGCUGAUACUGAAUUUGAAACCCAGUGUUCAGAUUCUUCAAAAGGCAUAUGUCUUACAUCCUGGAUAAAGCAUCUCAAUUCAAAAAAGUUGGAUCAGCUUUCUAUAAGCUCUCAAGAAGAAGCACGAGCUCUAGAAAAGAGGAUUUAUUCUUGCCAAUUUGAAGUAAGAGGUGUUCAUAGAAGCAAAAUUCACAAGAAUCCUCCGAUGCCAUAUAUAACGUCCAGCCUUCAGCAAGAUGCAGCAAACAAACUACAUUUUGGUGCAGGGCAUACCAUGAAGGUAGCCCAGAAGCUUUAUGAAGGGAUCAAUCUUUCGUCAGAACAAGCAACAGGAUUAAUAACUUACCUCAGAACAGAUGGGUUUCAUAUUUCUCAUGGAGCUGCAGAAGAUAUUCGUUCGUUAGUGAAACAAAGGUAUGGUGAGCAAUAUGCAUCAGAGGAUAUUAGGAAGUACUUGAAGAAGGUGAAAAAUGCUCAAGAGGCCCAUGAAGCCAUAAGGCCCACCAGCAUAAGGAGGUUGCCAUCAUCUUUGAUUGGAGUACUUGAUGAGGAUUCUUUGAAACUGUACACUCUAAUAUGGAGAAGAACAAUGGCUUGCCAAAUGGAAGCUUCAAGGACUGAGCUGAUACAAGUUGGUAUUGGUAAUCCUGAAGGAGACAUGAUUUUUCAUUCAUCUGCAUCAAGGCUUGACUUCAAGGGGUACCAAGCUGUCUAUGAGGACACUGAAGCAAGUGGGUCCAGUGAAAACCCCGAAGGGGAAACUGCACAUCAGGAUACUUUCGAGGCCUUGUCCAAAUUAGAGAUGAAGGAUUUGGUGUCUCCCGUUAACGUGAAUCUUGAACAGCACUUUACUAAACCUCUGUCCCGUUAUUCUGAGGGUGCAUUGAUUAAAAAGAUGGAGGAACUUGGAAUCGGAAGGCCGUCUACGUACGCCUCUAUAAUGAGGGUGUUGCAGGACCGGAAAUACGUGACAGUAAAAAGUCGUGUUCUGCACCCUGAAUUCCGCGGUCGAAUGGUCUCAGCAUUUCUUUCACAUCUUUUCUCUGAGAUUGUCGAUUACAGCUUUACUGCUAACAUGGAGACGGAGCUAGACAAUAUCUCUGCUGGGUCAACUGAAUGGAAGGGUCUCCUGAAAGAUUACUGGGAACGACUCAGCAAAUAUUGCGGAGAUGCUAGUCAGUGGGAUGUCAGAAAGGUAGAGAGAAUGCUUGAAGAGAAAUUCCGUCCUAUCCUCUUUCCUGACCUUGACACCGAUAGUAGGAUUUGCCCUAGUUGUUCUGAAGGAACCCUCAGAUUUAAAGUUAGCAGGUAUGGUGAAGGCUCUUUUAUAGGCUGCGAUCGACAUCCGAAGUGCAAGUACAUCGCUCGCACAUUAUCAGAUGAAGAUGAUGAAAAUGAAACCUCCGAGCAAAUUCCAAGGUCUUUUGAACCUAGGUUACUUGGUAUCAUGCCUGAUACAAGUGAAAAGGUCUUCUUGAAACAAGGUCCUUAUGGUUACUACAUCCAGGUUGGAGAGGAUCGGAAGGGGGCAUCUCAGAAAAGAGCUCCUCUUUCUGAGGUCAAAGAUGUUGACUCUAUCACUAUCAAAGAUGCAAUUGAGCUAUUGCAGUAUCCAAAAAUUCUGGGAAAACAUCCUGAUGACGAGCAUCGAGUACUUAUGACACAUUCUAAAGCUGGAUUUAGUAUCCGGCACAGGGGAACCCUUGCUCCAGUGCCAAAGACUCAAGACCCAAAGAAGAUUACGCUCGAGCAUGCACUGAAGUUUCUGACGGGUAAAAAUGCCAAACAUAAUGGUCGACCAAAGGGAAAAACUAACAAAAAUGCAGAACCCAUCGAAUGGCAUUAA